rnacentral:rRNA from 1 species
UACGUAGGGGGCAAGCGUUGUCCGGAUUUAUUGGGCGUAAAGAGCGUGUAGGCGGCCACACAGGUCUGCUGUGAAAACUCGAGGCUCAACCUCGAGCUGUCGGUGGAAACCGUGUGGCUAGAGUCCGGAAGAGGAGAGUGGAAUUCCCGGUGUAGCGGUGAAAUGCGCAGAUAUCGGGAAGAACACCCGUGGCGAAGGCGGCUCUCUGGAACGCAACUGACGCUGAGACGCGAAAGCGUGGGGAGCAAACAGG